UAUAUAUACAUACAUACAUAAACAAAGAAAUAAGCUAUAUAAUUUUAUAACUAUUCAAACAUAAGUAUAUAUACUUUGAACACAUUUUCCUUUCCUUUCCUCUUUUUUUUUUUUUUAGGCAGUAAAAAAAGCGAAACAUUUGUUACAGAAUUAUUAAAUCUUUUAAUUUCUUGUGAAAAAGGAGAAAAGGGAGAUAACAUUCAUUCAAUUAUUGAAAACAAAAAAAAAGAAAUGAAAGAAGUUAUCAGUGAAAAUAAUGAUAUAAUAGAAGAUAUAAAAAAUAUAGAAAGUUUGUACAUGGAUAGUAAUAUAUUGGAAACUAACAACCAAGGUAGUAAUAAUUUUAUAAAAAAAUCAAAAGAUAAAGAAAAUGUGAACAUAUUAAAAGAAAAAGGUAAUAGGUACAAUGAAAGAAACAAAAUAAAAAAUAGCAAAUCGAAUACACCCUGUGGAAAAAUAUCCUUGUCAAUAUCUCCAUCAAACUCGAGAACUAACUCAAGAACUAAUUCGAGAAAUAAUUCGAGAAAUAAUUCGAGAACUAAUUCNNNNNNNNNNAGAACUAAUUCGAGAAAUAAUUCGAGAAAUAAUUCGAGAACUAAUUCGAGAAAUAAUUCGAGAAAUAAUUCGAGAAAUAAUUUGAGAAAUAAUUCGAUAAAUAAUUCGAGAAAUAACUCGAUAAAUAAUUCGAGAAAUAAUUCGAUAAAUAAUUCGAGAAAUAAUUCGAGAAAUAAUUCGAGAAAUAACUCGAGGAUUGGAUCAACAUCGACAUUAAAAUAUAGACAUACGUCCAGAUCUGUAAGUGGUUCUUGGUCAAACAGUUAUAAAAAUAAACGAAACAAUCAAAAAAUAAAACAUAAAAGAAGUAGUAAAAGUAUUGCAAGUUAUGAUACGAGUAGAAAUAGCAGCAGUAAUAAUAGUAGUGUAUUAUAUAAAAGAAAAACGACAAAACAUAAAAUUAAACAAAAACAAAAAAAUAGUUCCAGUUACGAGAAAAAAAGAAACGGACAUUAUUAUAAUAAUCACAAAGAAAGAAAAAGAGAAAAGAAAAUAGAUAAAAAAAAUUAUAAAUAUGGAGAUAGGGAUCGAGAUAGGGACAGAGAUAGAGACAGAGAUAGAGACAGAGAUAGGGACAGAGAUAGGGGCCGAGAUAGGGACCGAGAUAGGGACAGAGAUAAGGAUUAUUACAUGGGUCGGGAUAGGUAUAAAGACUAUAAGAGAGAUAAAAUAAGAUAUAAAUAUAAAGAUGAUAGAUAUAAAGAUGAUAGAUAUAAAGAUGAUAGAUAUAAAGAUGAUAGGUAUAAAGACAAUAGGUAUGAGGAUAGGCAUAGUGAUAGAUAUACAUAUAAACAUACUGAUAGGUCCACAAAUAGACAUGGAGAUAGAGAUAGAGAUCGAUAUAGAGAAAGAAAAUCGUCAGAAGCAACUCGAUCUGAUGAAGAAAAGUCUGAAAGUUCAUCAAGUAGUGAUAUAAAAAAUAAUAAUUUAAAAAAUAGAAAAAAGGAAAUAAAUAAAUAUGAAAAGGAUAGCAGUUUAUCAAGUUCAGACAAAAGUUCUAAUCGUUCAUACAUAUCGUCAUGUUCAUCUUCAAGGUCAAUUAAAAAAAAAAGUGUGGUUGAUUAUGUAGGAACUAAUAAAAAUGAUAAAAAUUCUUUAAAAAAAAAAAAAAGAAAUAGUUUGUCAUCAGAAGAAGACAGUAAAAUUAAAGUAAUAAACAAUAUAAUGAGUAAAAAAAGUUAUAAGAAUUCUAAGAAAAGACUAAGGGCUUGGUCGUCAUCAGAAAGUGUUGAAACUUAGCAAAAUAAAAUGGCACACGAAUAAAACA
rnacentral:lncRNA from 1 species